GCAGACCCGGAGAACUGAAACAUCUUAGUACCCGGAGGAAGAGAAAGAAAAAUCGAUUCCCUGAGUAGCGGCGAGCGAAACGGGAAGAGCCCAAACCAAUAAGCUUGCUUAUUGGGGUUGUAGGACACUCUAUACGGAGUUACAAAGGAAUAUAUUAGACGAAUCAUCUGGAAAGAUGAAUCAAAGAAGGUAAUAAUCCUGUAGUUGAAAAUAUGUUCUCUCUUGAGUGGAUCCUGAGUACGACGGAGCACGUGAAAUUCCGUCGGAAUCUGAGAGGACCAUCUCCUAAGGCUAAAUACUCUCUAGUGACCGAUAGUGAACCAGUACCGUGAGGGAAAGGUAAAAAGUACCCCGGAAGGGGAGUGAAAGAGAACUUGAUGAUGGCGUGCCUUUUGUAGAAUGAACCGGCGAGUUACGAUCUGAUGCAAGGUUAAGCAGCAAAUGUGGAGCCGCAGCGAAAGCGAGUCUGAAUAGGGCGUUGAGUAUUUGGUCGUAGACCCGAAACCAGGUGAUCUACCCUUGGUCAGGUUGAAGUUCAGGUAACACUGAAUGGAGGACCGAACCGACUUACGUUGAAAAGUGAGCGGAUGAACUGAGGGUAGCGGAGAAAUUCCAAUCGAACUUGGAGAUAGCUGGUUCUCUCCGAAAUAGCUUUAGGGCUAGCCUCAAGUGAUGAUUAUUGGAGGUAGAGCACUGUUUGGACGAGGGGCCCCUCUCGGGUUACCGAAUUCAGACAAACUCCGAAUGCCAAUUAAUUUAACUUGGGAGUCAGAACAUGGGUGAUAAGGUCCGUGUUCGAAAGGGAAACAGCCCAGACCACCAGCUAAGGUCCCAAAAUAUAUGUUAAGUGGAAAAGGAUGUGGCGUUGCCCAGACAACUAGGAUGUUGGCUUAGAAGCAGCCAUCAUUUAAAGAGUGCGUAAUAGCUCACUAGUCGAGUGACACUGCGCCGAAAAUGUACCGGGGCUAAACAUAUUACCGAAGCUGUGGAUUGUCCUUUGGACAAUGGUAGGAGAGCGUUCUAAGGGCGUCGAAGCAUGAUCGCAAGGACAUGUGGAGCGCUUAGAAGUGAGAAUGCCGGUGUGAGUAGCGAAAGACGGGUGAGAAUCCCGUCCACCGAUUGACUAAGGUUUCCAGAGGAAGGCUCGUCCGCUCUGGGUUAGUCGGGUCCUAAGCUGAGGCCGACAGGCGUAGGCGAUGGAUAACAGGUUGAUAUUCCUGUACCACCUAG
rnacentral:rRNA from 1 species